GAUCGUAUAGUUUAGUGGUUAGGACGUCCGCCACUGAAUCGGAAGACCCAGGUUUGAUUCCUGGCAUGGGUA
rnacentral:tRNA from 1 species